rnacentral:rRNA from 1 species
UUAGCUGAGAGGUGGUGCAUGGCCGUCGUCAGUUCGUACUGUGAAGCAUCCUGUUAAGUCAGGCACGAGCGAGACCCACGCCCACAGUUGCCAGCGUACUCUCUGGAGUGACGGGUACACUGUGGGGACCGCCGCUGCUAAAGCGGAGGAAGGAAUGGGCAACGGUAGGUCAGUAUGCCCCGAAUAUCCCGGGCUACACGCGAGCUACAAUGGUUGGUACAAUGGGUAUCUACCCCGAAAGGGGACGAGAAUCUCCUAAAACCAAUCUUAGUUCGGAUUGAGGGCUGCAACUCGCCCUCAUGAAGCUGGAAUCCGUAGUAAUCGCGUUUCAACAGAACGCGGUGAAUACGUCCCUGCUCCUU